ensembl:lncRNA
AUGCUCUGGACGGCCUGUGGAGACGUGAAGAUGCUCUGGUCGGCCUGUGGACCCCGCCUCGGCCUUGGGCACCACAUCGGGAACAGCCUCGGGAACCAUCUCGGGCACGGCAUCGGGCACCGCCUCGGCCUCCGGAACAGCAUCGGGCACCGCCUCGGCCUCCGGAACAGCAUCGGGCACCGCCUCGGCCCCCGGCACCGCAUCGGGCACCGCCUCGGCCUCCGGCACAGCAUCGGGCACCGCCUCGGCCUGCGGAACAGGAUCGGGCACCGCCUCGGCCUCCGGAACAGCAUCGGGCACCGCCUCGGCCUCCGGAACAGCACCGGGCACCGCCUUGGCAUAGGGCACCGCCUCGGCCUCCGGCACAGCAUCGGGCACCGCCUCGGCCUCCGGAACAGCAUCGGGCACCGCCUCGGCCUCCGGAACAGCAUCGGGCACCGCCUCGGCCUCCGGAACCGCAUCGGGCACCGCCUCGGCAUCGGGCACCGCCUCGGCCUCCGGAACAGCAUCGGGCACCGCCUCGGCCUCCGGAACAGCAUCGGGCACCGCCUCGGCAUCGGGCACCGCCUCGUCCUCCGGAACAGCAUCGGGCACCGCCUCGGCCUCCGGAACAGCAUCGGGCACCGCCUCGGCAUCAGGCACCGCCUCGGCCUCCGGAACAGCAUCGGGCACCGCCUCGGCCUCCGGAACAGCAUCGGGCACCGCCUCGGCAUCGGGCACCGCCUCGGCCUCCGGAACCACAUCGGGCACCGCCUUCGGGCACCGCCUCGGCCUCCGGAACCGCAUCGGGCACCGCCUCGGCCUCCGGAACCGCAUCGGGCACCGCCUCGGCAUCGGCCUCGGCCUCCGGAACAGCAUCGGGCACCGCUUUGGCCUCCGCCUUGGCCUCCGGAACAGCACGGGCACCACCUUGGCCUCCAGAACAGCAUCGGGCACCGCCUCGGCAUCGGGCAGUGGCGCUGGGCUGGCGGCCGUCUGGCCUCGUGGUGUGGGGCUGGUGACCACCUUGUGCAGUGGCCCUGGGAUGGCGGCCAUCUUGUGCUGUGGUGCUUGGCUGGCGCCCAUCUUGGGCAUUGGCGCUGGGUUAGCAGCCAUCUUGUGCUGUGGUGCUGGGCACACUGA